rnacentral:lncRNA from 1 species
GAGGAGGCGGAGGCAGCGUGCGCAGUGAGCGCGGCGGCGCUGCGCAGCCGGGCCUUGGCCGCCUAGGCCCAGGUGGCGGUGGCGGAGGCGCCAAUGCCAGCGGCAGCAGCCCACCUGGCGACGGCGGGGCCGGGGCUGGCGGCUUUUGGCCGCAGCAGGUAUGUCGCGUGCUUGGCGCAGCGCUGACUUCGUCAUACACACACACACACACACACUCACACACACACACACACACACACACACACACACACACACACACACACACACACACACACACACACACACACGCACACACACACACACACACACACACACACACACACACACACACACACACACACACACAUACGCCCCAUGCAGCCGGGCGCUAUUUGCAGCCGCGCGGCCCCCGACUCGUUCCCUUUCACGGGCAUAGUUAGUGGGCGGGCUUUGGGAUGCGUGUUAGGACAUUAGAUACCUUGCUUGCUGCACGCCGCCCUCUUCCACCGCUGCCAUUUCACAUGCCCGUGACACUUCUGUGCUGCCGCCCAAUGCCUUUCCAUUCCCAUGCUUAUAGGUGAGCUGGGUUACGACCAGCGGGCGGGAAUCUGGGAAUUAGGCGUGAUGGGUAAACGUUGUUUAGCGCGCCCAGGGUGCGGAGCAUGGACGCAUACAGGUGCAUCGCGGGGUCAGGCCGAAUGGUCGCCCGUGGGGUUACAGGCUUAUUGCGGGUAAGUAUGACUACCUGGGUGACGGCAACCACGCGACGCUCGGUAAAUUGGUAGGUAUCGGUAAGUAACUCCGGCGUCGUCUGGGCGGGCUUUCGUUUCGUUUAUUAACACACACACACACACACACACACACACACAGGGAUUUGUCGUAUAUGCUUGUGGUUCUGUUGGUGUGAGCCUUUGUGCGGCCCGGGCUGGUGGUGGGUGUGGGUGUGCGGCCCUGGCUGUUGGGCGGGGCACGUGGCCGGUCCCGGUGCCGUGGGCGGCUUCGUUUAGGGCUCCCGCUGGUCUGUGGGGUCUCCUGUGGUCUGGGGGGGGGAGUCCGCGGUUUGUGAGGGUGUGCUCUCUGGUGGGCUUUUUUCCGGGCGCGUGGGCCUUGUCGUUGCGCCCUGGGCCGGGGUCUCGUUGGGCCGCCGUCGCGCGCACCGCUGUAACGCCGCGGUCUGCCACCCUGCCUACCCCGCACCCCAAGCCUGCCCCCACCACCGACGCAGCCACUGCGGCCGCGAGCAUGCCUAGCCUCGGUGCCGCCAUGGAGUGGGGAGCAGGAGGCCAGCUCCCGCCAGCCCAUGGCGUCACACACACACCAGCCUGUGUCUGACACGCCUGGAAACGCUGCAACCGCCGCCCGCCACGCCCCCCAUGCAGCCAUGACCCCGUACCUAGCUUGUCUGCUGCACGCUGCCUCUCUUGUCGCCUUUGCCAUUCGCCUGCCCGUGACACUUCCUCGCUGCCGCCCUAUGCCCAUGCUUCCGCUUUUGCCUUUUAGGUGAGCUCGACUACGACCAGCGGGCGGGAUGAUGACCACGCCAGAAUGGCUGCUGCUGCCGGCGGCGGCGGAGGAGGAGGCGGAGGCAACGUGCGCAGUGAGCGCGGCGGCGCUACGCAGCCGGGCCUUAGCCGCCUAGGCCCAGGUGGCGGUGGCGGAGGCGCUGAUGCCAGCGGCAGCAGCCCACCUGGCGACGGAGGGCCCGGGGCUGGCGGCUCUUGGCCGCAGCAGGUAUGUCGCGUGCUUGCGCGCAGCGCGGACUUCGUUUGUGGGACGGCUAUGCUAGUUUGGGACCAGCGCCACUGUCACGCCGACACACAUACACACACAUACACACACACACACACACACACACACACACACACACACACACACACACACACACACACACACACACACACACACACACACACACACACACACACACACACACACACACACACACGUGUGUUUGGCGGCUUUGUUCCGUUGUUUUGUGUUUGACACACACAAACACACACACAUACGCACGUACGCAGACACCGCUGUGGCCCACGCCGCUCCAGACCGCACACGCGCUUGUGGUUGCCGCGUGCCUGCACGCCCUAGUCGCCUACACCCCGCGCUCACCUGCGCCGGUGCAUGCCGUGCCCUUACCGCUCAAGGCUCACGCCGCACAGCCCCACUGCUUUCUCAAGCUGGCCUCCGCUCUAUCCCGCUGCUCCUUUGUGUGCUGCAGCACGCCCGCGCAAGCACCGCCACGGGGCAUGACCACGCCAGCAUGGCUGCUGCUGCCGGCGGCGGCGGAGGAGGAGGCGGAGGCAACGUGCGCAGUGAGCGCGGCGGCGCUGCGCAGCCGGGCCUUGGCCGCCUAGGCCCAGGUGGCGGUGGCGGAGGCGCCAAUGCCAGCGGCAGCAGCCCACCUGGCGACGGAGGGGCCGGGGCUGGCGGCUCUUGGCCGCAGCAGGUAUGUCGCGUGCUUGCGCGCAGCGCGGACUUCGUUUGUGGGAUGGCUAUGCUAGUUUGGGACCAGCGCCACUGUCACGCCGGCACACAUACACACACGCACCGCGGUACCCGCGCCACUCCACUCCAGACCGCACACGCGCUUGUGGUUGCCGCGUGCCUGCACGCCUUAGUCGCCUACACCCCGCGCUCUCCCGCGCUGGUGCAUGCCGUGCCCUUACCGCUCAAGGCUCACGCCGCACAGCCCCACUCCUUUCUCAAGCUGGCCUUCGCUCUAUCCCGCUGCUCCUUUGUGUGCUGCAGCACGCCCGCGCAAGCACCGCCACGGGGCAUGACCACGCCAGCAUGGCUGCUGCUGCCGGCGGCGGCGGAGGAGGAGGCGGAGGCAGCGUGCGCAGUGAGCGCGGCGGCGCUGCGCAGCCGGGCCUUGGCCGCCUAGGCCCAGGUGGCAGUGGCGGAGGCGCCAAUGCCAGCGGCAGCAGCCCACCUGGCGGUGGAGGGGCCGGGGCUGGCGGCUCUUGGCCGCAGCAGGUAUGUCGCGUGCUUGCGCGCAGCGCGGACUUUGUUUGUGGGAUGGCUAUGCUAGUUUGGGACCAGCGCCACACGCACCGCGGUACCCGCGCCAUUCCAG